rnacentral:rRNA from 1 species
UAAGACGUAGGUGGCGAGCGUUGUUCGGAAUCACUGGGCAUAAAGCGCACGUAGGCGGCUGAGUAAGUCGGAUGUGAAAUACCUCGGCUCAACCGAGGAACUGCGUCCGAUACUGCUCGGCUUGAGGUCCGGAGGGGAGAGUGGAAUUCCCGGUGGAGCGGUGAAAUGCGUAAAGAUCGGGAAGAACGCCGGCGGCGAAAGCGACUCUCUGGUCGGAAUCUGACGCUGAGGUGCGAAAGCUAGGGGAGCAAACGGG